GACGAACGCUGGCGGCGUGCUUAACACAUGCAAGUCGAACGGAAAGGCCCCCACCUUGGUGGAGGUGCUCGAGUGGCGCACGGGUGAGUAACACGUGGGCGAUCUGCCCCGUACUUCGAGACCAGCUUGGGAAACUCGGUCACAUACCGGAUAGGAUCAUGGUUUAGUGUCUUAUGGUGGAAAAAUUAUUGUUUUGGUGCAGGAUGCGCUCGAGCCCGCUCAGCUGGUAGGUGGCGUGAUUGCCUACCAAGGCGUCGACGGGUAGCCGGCCUGAGAGCAUGCGCGCCCACAGUGGGACCGAGAUACGUGGCAGCCACGUACGGGCGACAGCAGUAGGGAAGGUUGCACGAUGGACGCAAGCCUGAUGGGGCGAAGCCGCGUGAGGGAAGACGGCCUUCGGGAUGUAAGCUCCUUUCGUUAAAGACGAUUCCGCACCUUUGUUGGGUGUGGGUGCGGUUCCUUGGUUAAGAAGCACCGGCUAACUACGUG
rnacentral:rRNA from 1 species